GAGAAAUAUGAUCAGAGGCCAGCAUGUGCUGCAUAGCAAGUUCAAGGCCAGCCGGUUCCACUUCAGCUAGCACUCUACCACUAGAGGCACAAUUGCACUUCUGGAUUUGUUGAUAGAACAAGAAAAGUGCCAGAAUGUGUAAACAACAACAACAACAAAACUCCAGCAAUGACAGGAUACAUUAUUUUUUGCAAAAGAAGGCAGAACUCUGAGAAAAGCUUCAGUGGUGCCUGUGCGGACAACUGCUUUAAGAGGCAGCAAGCAGGACUACCCCAGCAAGGCAGGUGGAUGAUGAUGAUCUGCUUCCUUAACAAUCCAUGCCUGACACCUGCUCAUCCUCACAUGGGCCCUAUGGACACAUGACCCUCACCCAUGUUCUAGCCAGACCCCGGAAUUCCACCCCCACCACCAUCCCCACCAACACCAGCAGCGCCAGCUCCAGAAGCAGAAGCAGGGACCCCGCGCCCGGGAGCACAGGCAGAGUGGAGCUUUGUUGGAGCACUGUUAAGUUCUGUUGGAGCAUGGUUCCUGCUAGGCCUUGGCAAGCCCCGCGCUGAAAGUUUCCUUCCUCUAAACGUGCUGUGGU